CCUACGGGUGGCAGCAGUGAGGAAUAUUGGUCAAUGGGCGGAAGCCUGAACCAGCCAAGUCGCGUGAGGGAUUAAGGCCCUGCGGGUCGUAAACCUCUUUUGCCGGGGAGCAGUGGUCCGGACGCGUCCGGACCGGGAGAGUACCCGGAGAAAAAGCAUCGGCUAACGCCGUGCCAGCAGCCGAGGUAAGACGGGGGAUGGGAGCGGUAUGCGGAUUUAUUGGGUUUAAAGGGUGCGUAGUGGUGCAUUUAAGCCGGCGGUCAAAUGUCGGGGCUCAGCCCCGGCCUGCCGUCGGAACGGGGUGCCUUGAGUGGGCGAGAAGUAUGCGGAAUGCGUGGUGUAGCGGUGAAAUGCAUAGAUAUCACGCAGAACCCCGAUUGCGAAGGCAGCAUACCGGCGCCCUACUGACGCUGAGGCACGAAAGUGCGGGUAUCGAACAGGAUUAGAUACCCCGGUAGUC
rnacentral:rRNA from 1 species